rnacentral:rRNA from 1 species
AUUGAACGCUGGCGGCAGGCUUAACACAUGCAAGUCGAGCGGGGUGAUGGUGCUUGCACUAUCACUUAGCGGCGGACGGGUGAGUAAUGCUUAGGAAUCUGCCUAUUAGUGGGGGACAACAUCUCGAAAGGGAUGCUAAUACCGCAUACGUCCUACGGGAGAAAGCAGGGGAUCACUUGUGACCUUGCGCUAAUAGAUGAGCCUAAGUCGGAUUAGCUAGUUGGUGGGGUAAAGGCCUACCAAGGCGACGAUCUGUAGCGGGUCUGAGAGGAGGAGCCGCAACACUGGGACUGAGACACGGCCCCUACUCCUACGGGAGGCAGCAGUGGGGAAUAUUGGACAAUGGGGGGAACCCUGAUCCAGCCAUGCCGCAUGUGUGAAGGAGGCCUUAUGGUUGUAAAGCACUUUAAGCGAGGAGGAGGCUCUUUUGGUUAAUACCCAAGAUGAGUGGACGUUACUCGCAGAAUAAGCACCGGCUAACUCUGUGCCAGCCGCCGCCGUAA